UCAGUAAGCACUUGAGCUGACGCACACCUGUUACAAUUUAGAAGUGUGGACGUAUUUCUCAUAUAAUGGUUCUAUUUCCCCCGCUACAUAAGCCUAUUCUAACACUGUAGUAUUCUCAGUUAUAAGUAACAACAAAAGCCUUACUGCCAAGUCUGUCUCACAGCUGGACUGAGCACCUGCUGUAUAUGGAGCUGGACAUACUUAUUGAUUACUGUGCGGAGGAGUGGCCCCAGACAUCUGGCUCCCUCAUUGCAUCCCCCAGCAUAGAAAACAAGCAACACAGGAAAAGUGAGGUAAAGCAAUUUGAACACUGGACUCCAAUAUGACCUUUGAUUAUGAGAGGAAUAAAGCAGUGCUCAUAUCCCAGGCCUCUCCGUUUCCUCUCAACAUGAUGAAUGGGACACCCUGAGCUGCAGGACAGAA